rnacentral:rRNA from 1 species
CCUACGGGUGGCUGCAGUGAGGAAUAUUGGUCAAUGGGCGGAAGCCUGAACCAGCCAAGUAGCGUGCAGGAUGACGGUCCUACGGGUUGUAAACUGCUUUUAUACGGGAAUAACGCGCCUUACGUGUAGGGCUUUGCAUGUACCGUAUGAAUAAGGACCGGCUAAUUCCGUGCCAGCAGCCGAGGUAAUACGGAUGUUCCGGGCGUUAUCCGGAUGUAUUGGGGUUGAAGGGAGCGUAGGUCGGAUUGCAAGUCUGCGGUGAAAUGUCCGGGCGCAACCCGGGCCUUGCAGCGCGAACUGGCGUGCUUGAGUCCGCGGAAAGCAGGCGGAAUUCGUCGUGUAGCGGUGAAAUGCUUAGAUAUGACGAAGAACCCCGAUUGCGAAGGCAGCUUGCUGCAGCGGAACUGACGCUGAUGCUCGAAAGCGCGGGUAUCGAACAGGAUUAGAUACCCUGGUAGUC